rnacentral:sRNA from 1 species
GGAUCUCCCAAUUUUUCCAGUGAUUUUUCUUCUCUUCAGCCAAAUGAAUUGAGCUCACAAAACUGAGAGAGUGAGAGAUUAUGGCGAUGCCUUUGGAAAUGGCGAUGCUUUUGACGAAAACGGUUUGGUUUGCUCUGAGCGGCUGGAUUUUAACAUGUUUGUCCAUCGCCGACGAGAUUGCUGGUUCACUCAGAAACCGAGAAGUUGGUCCUCCUUUACAUCUCGCAUGAUCACAUUUACAUUCUUCACCUCUUUCCUAGCUCCUACUCGAUUUUCAGCUUUUUUUUUUCCGGUGUGAAUCGUCCCAAAAGAUUGAAGAGUUUGGGUUUAUAGAGGAGAUAAAUAUAUAGGUAUAGGUGAUUUGUUUGCUCAUAGAUAUAUUAUACGUGUUAAUUAUUUGUGUGUGUUUCUGCUGAUUUGAGAGAAUUAUAAUAUGUGUGUCAAUUGAUGCUUGUCUUCUGGUUCUUAUUUCCAAAAGUGAAUUACUUUCAAACUGUGAUGAAUGAUAUGUGAAUUUGGACUA